UACGUAGGGGGCUAGCGUUGUCCGGAAUCAUUGGGCGUAAAGAGCGUGUAGGCGGCCCGGUAAGUCCGCUGUAAAAGUCGGGGGCUCAACCCUCGAAUGCCGGUGGAUACUGUCGGGCUAGAGUGCGGAAGAGGCGAGUGGAAUUCCUGGUGCAGCGGUGAAAUGCGCAGAUAUCAGGAGGAACACCAAUUGCGAAGGCAGCUCGCUGGGACGUUACUGACGCUGAGACGCGAAAGCGUGGGGAGCAAACAGG
rnacentral:rRNA from 1 species